CCCCUCGCUCCAAUGGUCCCUUUGUGCUCCUUUACAUAAGGUUCCUGCUGCCAAAUCCAAUUAGGAUCCGGCCUUGGCCAAAUCCCGCUAAGCCCCAUCCUGCCGGGCCCAGGGGACCCAUGGGUGCCCCCCCGGCCCCGCGGGCUCGGCUUUGUCCCAGCUCCCCCAGCUGGAAAAAAUGUCCCCAGCAGAUUAACGAGGCCCUUGGGAAUGUCACCCGUGUCCCGGUUUGGGGGGCACCGAGGGCGCUUUGGGUCACGGGGCCCUGCGGGGUGAAGCAGCCCCCAGGGUGAGGUUGGGGGGUCCCAGCUGGACUCUGGUGCCCCCCAGGCCCCCAUGGGCAGCAGCACUGGCACGAGGGACACCCAGAGUGUGGGGGUCGGGCGCAGUCACCCAUCGACAUCGCGACGGUGUGGGCACAGCCGGACCUGUCGCUGCCGCCGCUGCAGCCCGAGGGCUACGAGCACCCCGAGAGCCCCCGGCUGAGCCUCGCCAACAACGGCCACACCGCCGUGCUGGCACUGCCACCAUCGCUGCGGCUCCGGGGGCUGCCCCACACCUUCACUGCCGUACAGCUCCACUUCCACUGGGGCUGGCCUGGCCACGCUGCUGGCGCUGAGCACCUGCUGGACGGGCACCGCGCCCCUGCCGAGAUGCAUGUGGUGCACUUUGACGCCGAGCGUUUCGCCGAUGCCAGCGCGGCA